rnacentral:rRNA from 1 species
UACGUAGGGGGCAAGCGUUGUCCGGAUUUAUUGGGCGUAAAGAGCUCGUAGGCGGUUUGGUAAGUCUGGUGUGAAAUCUCCACGCUCAACGUGGAGGGGCCACCCGAUACUGCCAUGACUGGAGUCCGGUAGAGGAGUGUGGAAUUCCUGGUGUAGCGGUGAAAUGCGCAGAUAUCAGGAGGAACACCAGCGGCGAAGGCGGCGCUCUGGGCCGGUACUGACGCUGAGGAGCGAAAGCGUGGGUAGCAAACAGG